CCUACGGGAGGCAGCAGUGGGGAAUAUUGGGCAAUGGACGCAAGUCUGACCCAGCAACGCCGCGUGAAGGAAGAAGGCUUUCGGGUUGUAAACUUCUUUUAAGGGGGAAGAGUAGAAGACGGUACCCCUUGAAUAAGCCACGGCUAACUACGUGCCAGCAGCCGCGGUAAU
rnacentral:rRNA from 1 species